GGAGCCGUGACCGAGUGGUCGAAGGUGCUGGAUUGCUAAUCCAGUGUGGGGGCAACUCCACCGAGGGUUCGAAUCCCUCCGGCUCCGCCA
rnacentral:tRNA from 1 species